UCUCUGAGUACGAGAGGGAGUUUAAAAUUGGAAUGAUACAGAGAAGAUUAGCAUGGCCCCUGCAUAAGGAUGACACACACAAAUCAAGAAAUGGUCCAAAUUUUC